rnacentral:pre_miRNA from 1 species
AGCUCGCUCGGCUGGUUGUUAGAUGUUUCUGCUGUUCAUCACAACCUCCUUGAGUGAGUUGA